AGCAUCUUCAACUCCUUCUGUUCUGUCCUGCCCUUACUGGGCUGUCAAUCAAGCAAUACAUCUACUGUCAAAUCAAGGCGCUCACGUUAAUGAAGACUAGCAUGCACUGUACCAGAUCCGUUUACGUGUUUUCCUCACCUGUAAGAGCUGUGACUGUGGGAUAGAGCCAUUAGUUUCCUGACACCACGCUACCAUCUGCUCCGGAAAGAAGUUCUGGGAGAGGAAGAUAAAGGGUGAGAGGAUCACCUCACCAAGAGCAGAUGCCUUUCUUAGUAGACAAUUACACAAGAUGAUUGUUACUAAACUGAGGGCAACGAAUGGAACAAGCUCUGAAUUCGUUACAAAGGUUUGAAUUUGCACUUUUUCGUUAAGGUUUUAACUGAAUUCUCUUUCUGCAAAUACUUAUUAUUACUUUUAAUAUUUAUUAUAUUCCCAUGUUAUCAACAUCAAGAAGUAUACUAAAUAUUGGAUAAUGCCAGGGUUUCCCAAGCUGGGGUUCAUGAAUGGGUGGUGGGUUGAUUCAAAGGAAGACUCACCAAUUUUUAUAAAAGUGGUAGAAUUUUAAAAAGGGAAAAAUAAGAAAUAGAGCAUACCAGCAAAUUAAAUUAUGAAUAAUUUACUGUCAUUGUGUGAAUAAUAUGUAAUCACAAAAAGUAACUAAUGUGAUUAACUUAAGUAUUUUAAAAUGUAGUAUUUAAUUACAAGUACUUAAUUUUCUGAAUCUGAUUAUGUAUACAGAUUACAUGUGAUCAGUACUAUCUAGCACGGUGUGUGUGUGUGUGUGUGUGUGUGAUUACAAUUAUUCAUUUAGAUGAGUAACAAACAGAUUAGCUGAUCACAGUAAUCAACAACCUGUGAUUAAUUUUUGAACAACCGUUAAAUCGAGGCGUGAUUCUGUACCAGUUGAGUUACAGGAUCAUGGUAAGAAACAAGCAUGAAAUCAAGCAUACACACAAGCUGAAACUCAUCUAAAGCUAAUUUAGGUGAGUUGCACUAAGCAUUUGCCAAAGCCACGGAUUACCAAGAGCAGGUUAAGUGCUCUGUCAAAACAGACUCGGGCUAACCGGCCCAAAGAUGCCUCAAGUGCUGACACACACUGUACAUACCGUACUAAAGCAGAGGCUCAAAUAAGAUUAAGCUUGUGCAUGAACAUUUUUUCCAAGCAUACGAAAAGUCCAUGGAUUACAAAGCAGGAUAAAAUG